UACGUAGGGGGCAAGCGUUGUCCGGAUUUAUUGGGCGUAAAGAGCGUGUAGGCGGCCAAAUAGGUCGGUUGUGAAAACUGGAGGCUUAACCUCCAGACGUCGACCGAAACCAUCUGGCUAGAGUCCGGAAGAGGAGAGUGGAAUUCCUGGUGUAGCGGUGAAAUGCGCAGAUAUCAGGAGGAACACCGAUGGCGAAGGCAGGUCUCUGGGCAUUAACUGACGCUGAGGAGCGAAAGCAUGGGGAGCGAACAGG
rnacentral:rRNA from 1 species